UACGGAGGGUCCAAGCGUUAUCCGGAAUCAUUGGGUUUAAAGGGUCCGUAGGCGGUUUUGUAAGUCAGUGGUGAAAGCCCAUCGCUCAACGGUGGAACGGCCAUUGAUACUGCAAGACUUGAAUUAUUGGGAAGUAACUAGAAUAUGUAGUGUAGCGGUGAAAUGCUUAGAGAUUACAUGGAAUACCAAUUGCGAAGGCAGGUUACUACCAAUAUAUUGACGCUGAUGGACGAAAGCGUGGGGAGCAAACAGG
rnacentral:rRNA from 1 species